rfam:Camelus ferus unplaced genomic scaffold scaffold637, whole genome shotgun sequence.
AGGGAAAUAGCUCAGUGGUAGAGCACAUGCUUAGCAUCCGUGAGGUCCUGGGUUCAAGUCCCAGUACCCCCC